UACUGUGAGUCACACAGGUCACUGUGGGCAGUGAGACACAUAAGAACAGAGCAGAAGGACUUCCAGGUACCUUCUAGCUCUUACAUUCAGUAGAAAAACUAAUGGAAAGACACAGUUAUACAGGAACAAUCACUACCGACACCAGCGCUUCUGGUCAUCCCAUCGCGUAAAAGAGCCACAACCAAGUUCUGGGCGUGUGGCGCAUGCCUGUACCAGCAUCUCAGAGGCGGAUAUAUCUACGAGUCCCAGGCCAGCCGAGGGUUAACAGUAGGGGAGUGGGAAGAUUGCAUAGGUAACAGAGAGACAAAAUUUGGCGGUGUUACAGAUCCAACCCGAAGCCAAAGGCUCCACCACGGGAACACCUCGCAUCAUUUUAUUCAGAGCUGACAUGAAAUUUUUGAUACGCCCGUUUGCUUUCUUCACCCCAGCCUCACUAGACUCUUUCUGUUCCUUGGCCUUCCUCAAAACCGCCUUCUUGCUGUCCCUGCGGUCAUCGGAGAGCAGCAGAUAUGGCCCUGCGCUACCCCAUGGCCGUGGGCCUCAACAAGGGCCACAAGGUGACGAAGAACGUCAGCAAGCCGAGACACAGCCGGCGCCGCGGGCGCCUCACCAAGCACACCAAGUUCGUGCGGGACAUGAUCCGGGAGGUGUGCGGCUUCGCGCCCUACGAGCGGCGCGCCAUGGAGUUGCUCAAAGUGUCCAAGGACAAGCGCGCACUUAAGUUCAUCAAGAAGAGGGUGGGCACGCACAUCCGUGCCAAGAGAAAGCGGGAGGAGCUGAGCAAAGUGCUGGCAGCCAUGAGGAAGGCGGCCAAGAAGGAUUGAUGAACC